rnacentral:rRNA from 1 species
AGAGUUUGAUCCUGGCUCAGGACGAACGCUGGCGGCGUUAACACAUGCAAGUCGAGCGGUAAGGCCCUUCGGGGUACACGAGCGGCGAACGGGUGAGUAACACGUGGGUGACCUGCCCCCUACUCUGGGAUAAGCCUGGGAAACUGGGUCUAAUACCGGAUAUGACUACAUGUCGCAUGGUGUGUGGUGGAAAGUUUUUUCGGUGGGGGAUGGGCCCGCGGCCUAUCAGCUUGUUGGUGGGGUGAUGGCCUACCAAGGCGACGACGGGUAGCCGGCCUGAGAGGGCGACCGGCCACACUGGGACUGAGACACGGCCCAGACUCCUACGGGAGGCAGCAGCGGGGAAUAUUGCGCAAUGGGCGGAAGCCUGACGCAGCGACGCCGCGUGGGGGAUGACGGCCUUCGGGUUGUAAACCUCUUUCGGCCCCGACGAAGCGUGAGUGACGGUAGGGGUAGAAGAAGCACCGGCCAACUACGUGCCAGCAGCCGCGGUAAUACGUAGGGUGCGAGCGUUGUCCGGAAUUAUUGGGCGUAAAGAGCUCGUAGGCGGUCUGUCGCGUCGGUCGUGAAAACUUGGGGCUUAACCCUGAGCUUGCGGUCGAUACGGGCAUGACUGGAGUUCGGCAGGGGAGACUGGAAUUCCUGGUGUAGCGGUGAAAUGCGCAGAUAUCAGGAGGAACACCGGUGGCGAAGGCGGGUCUCUGGGCCGAUACUGACGCUGAGGAGCGAAAGCGUGGGGAGCGAACAGGAUUAGAUACCCUAGUAGUCC